UACAGAGGUCUCAAGCGUUGUUCGGAUUCAUUGGGCGUAAAGGGUGCGUAGGUGGCGGGGUUAGUCAGGUGUGAAAUCUCGGAGCUCAACUCCGAAACUGCACUUGAUACUGCCUUGCUAGAGUACUGGAGAGGAGAUUGGAAUUUACGGUGUAGCAGUGAAAUGCGUAGAUAUCGUAAGGAAGACCAGUGGCGAAGGCGAAUCUCUGGACAGUUACUGACACUGAGGCACGAAGGCCAGGGGAGCAAACGGA
rnacentral:rRNA from 1 species